rnacentral:rRNA from 1 species
GAUGAACGCUGGCGGCGUGCCUAAUACAUUCAAGUAGAACGCUGAAGCUUGGUGCUUGCACCGAGCGGAUGAGUUGCGAACGGGUGAGUAACGCGUAGGUAACCUGCCUCUUAGCGGGGGAUAACUAUUGGAAACGAUAGCUAAUACCGCAUAAAAGUCGAUAUCGCAUGAUAUUGAUUUGAAAGGUGCAAAUGCAUCACUAAGAGAUGGACCUGCGUUGUAUUAGCUAGUUGGUGAGGUAACGGCUCACCAAGGCGACGAUACAUAGCCGACCUGAGAGGGUGAUCGGCCACACUGGGACUGAGACACGGCCCAGACUCCUACGGGAGGCAGCAGUAGGGAAUCUUCGGCAAUGGGGGCAACCCUGACCGAGCAACGCCGCGUGAGUGAAGAAGGUUUUCGGAUCGUAAAGCUCUGUUGUAAGAGAAGAACGAGUGUGAGAGUGGAAAGUUCACACUGUGACGGUAACUUACCAGAAAGGGACGGCUAACUACGUG